UGGCUAUAGUGGACGAUGAAACAGUUCUAAAAUUAAAAGAGCACAAAUUGUUACAAUUAGCAAAGAAAUACAUGGAUUAUUUGGAAGAAUUUACUCCAGUUACUGCCUUCUGUGAAGCUAAAAUUGAUGAAAACAGAGGUUAUUUUGUGCAUUUUUAUCGUAAAGGGAAUAAAUAAAAACAUAAUUCCUUUUUUUUCCUUUUUUUUAAACUAAUAAUUGUAAUUUAUUUUCUAAGAAAAUAUGUCCUUAAAUCCUAAAAGACACAAACCAUAAUAUUAUAAUAAACGGCAUGAUUUUUCCAUCUGCACUACUAUAAUAAUAUAUUGUAAUUUAUAACACCAUUUUUCUUAAUCCCUUUAUAUUAUUUAAUACCUAUAUUACUAUUAGUAUUACUAUUUUAAAUGUAUUUCUUCAUAUAUCCAAAUUUAUAUAAUAUGUACGUAUUGAUUAAUAUUUAAUAUACUGUGUCAAACACUAACCUUUGUAUGUUACGUUUCUUGCUAAUAAUCAAUAAUCAAUAUAGUUGUUAUCUAUCUA
rnacentral:lncRNA from 1 species